UACGGAGGAUCCAAGCGUUAUCCGGAAUCAUUGGGUUUAAAGGGUCCGUAGGCGGCUUUAUAAGUCAGUGGUGAAAUCCGGCAGCUCAACUGUCGAACUGCCAUUGAUACUGUAGGGCUUGAAUUAUUGUGAAGUAACUAGAAUAUGUAGUGUAGCGGUGAAAUGCUUAGAGAUUACAUGGAAUACCAAUUGCGAAGGCAGGUUACUACUAAUGGAUUGACGCUGAUGGACGAAAGCGUGGGUAGCGAACAGG
rnacentral:rRNA from 1 species